rnacentral:lncRNA from 1 species
CGCCAAUGAGAUUAUGGUUUCAUGCUCUGUUCAAAUCUUCAAAAAAACUAGGUAAGAAAAAAAAUUGUGGUCUAUCUUUAAUACACUCAAUUGUAUUAUGCUUAAUUGUUUAGAUAGUUUUUCCUCUUUAAUCCCUCACACUAUAGAAUCAAAUUUGUCUGCAAGGUAGCAGCCCGAUCUUAUGCCAAAUGGGAAGGGGAUGGUAAGAUCUCCACAGGUGGGUUCAUAGUCGGGCUUGGCCAGAUCAGAUGGUGUAAUAGAAUGAGCUGCUACUUCUACUCUUGCUGCUAAAAGUAGUACUGCAAUCAAGGUGAGUAAUUGAAAAGGCAUCUCAUGAAAGCCC